GAUGAACGCUGGCGGCGUGCCUAAUACAUGCAAGUCGAGCGGAGAAUUUAGCAAUAGAUUCUUAGCGGCGAACGGGUGAGUAACGCGUUGGUGACCUGCCUCGAAGUUUGGGAUAACAGUUCGAAAGGACUGCUAAUACCGGAUGUGAUCGCGGAGAUUAGAGGCUCUGUGAUUAAAGGAGAAAUUCGCUUCGAGAGGGGCCUGCGUCCCAUCAGCUAGUUGGUAAGGUAAAGGCUUACCAAGGCGAUGACGGGUAGGGGACCUGAGAGGGUGGCCCCCCCACAAUGGAACUGAAACACGGUCCAUACACCUACGGGUGGCAGCAGUAGGGAAUAUUGCAUAAUGGGCGAAAGCCUGAUGCAGCAACGCCGCGUGUGCGAUGAAGGCCUUGGGUCGUAAAGCACUUUUGGAGGGGAUGAGGAAGGACAGUACCCUUCGAAUAAGCUUCGGCUAACUACGUGCCAGCAGCCGCGGUAAU
rnacentral:rRNA from 1 species